AUGACGGCUGCACAAAAAGAACAAGAUUUGAUCUUAAUAUGCGCUAGUUGCUCCAAAGGGAAGGGAAUAAAAAAAGCACCAUUAGAUGUGCAUAAGAUGGCUGCCUGAUAAUUCUUAUAAGGAAAUGAUCUGUGAUAUAUGAUAACAUUUCAAGGUUUAUGUUAUCUUAAUUGUUGCAGUCUUUCUGCUUUCUAAGGUCUGGAGAAGGAUCAAGAACCAGCUGUUGAAGCCUAGCUGCAUGCAGAGUUCUGCCACUAUACCCAAGGUACACACAACACUCCCAGCUCAACCAUAUGUAGGCUCUAUAUUUCUAAAACUUUACGUACAUGAGAACUAAGAAGCUUCUCUUAUAUUUCAUUUUUUUAAAAAAGAAAUGAACUUCUAUUUUACGAGUGAAGAUAUUGUUUUACUAUCUUUUUUAUUGGAAUCAAGACUUUGACAAUUACAUCAGAAAACGAUGGUGUCCCUAGAACAGCUUUUAAGAAUAUUGGUUUCCUUGCUGACAACCUAGAAUACUGUGGGGGUUCUAUCCGUCCGAUGGAGAUAGUGAUUCGGUGGUAAUAAGUACGUGUACGUGGUGUCCGGCAAUGAACGCGAUCAUGUUUCGAUUCUGUUCGGUUGUGAAAGCUGUAGGCAUGCAGCAACUGUGCAGCAUGGCUUUCGCAUGGUCCCGGAUUUGCAUGUCCUUAAUCGGCCAGUGGUCGCUCUCCAGGGCUCAAAUUCGGCAUCAAGAUUCAAGACGACAGGAGACGCGUUGUCGAUUGACAGUGCCGUCUCUGGUCAGUAGAAGCCCUUUGAAAGGGAAGGCGCAUGUUUUACUGUCCUUUGGAAAGGUCUUUGUUCCAAGCAACCUCAUGCAUGCAACUCUGGAUGUCGAUGUCCGGGACCAUGCCAAAGCCAUGUUAAGCUCCUAGACCUAGACUCUUUAAAAGAUUGUCUACAGCACAGUGUUUUUUCAUAAAAUGUUCUGUACGACAGGGGGAAAAAACUCUUUGCUGUAGUAAAAAGAAUACAAUUUUACGUAGUACCGAGUUAAAUCAUUAUGAGCCUAAGUUUAUAUUUAUGAAAAAGGUACCAUACAAAAUAAGUGUCAUUAGAUUUGUCAUGUAAUAAUAUAUAUUUUAAUAGUAUAUUUAUUUAUUUGA